UACGUAGGGGGCAAGCGUUGUCCGGAAUCAUUGGGCGUAAAGAGCGUGUAGGCGGCCUGGUAAGUCCGCUGUGAAAGUCCAGGGCUCAACCCUGGAAUGCCGGUGGAAACUGUCAGGCUCGAGUCCGGAAGAGGCGAGUGGAAUUCCUGGUGUAGCGGUGAAAUGCGCAGAUAUCAGGAGGAACACCAAUGGCGAAGGCAGCUCGCUGGGACGGUACUGACGCUGAGACGCGAAAGCGUGGGGAGCGAAUGGG
rnacentral:rRNA from 1 species